UACGGAGGGUGCAAGCGUUAUCCGGAUUCACUGGGUUUAAAGGGUGCGUAGGAGGGCAGGUAAGUCAGUGGCGAAAUCUUCGAGCUUAACUCGGAAACUGCCGUUGAUACUAUCUGUCUUGAAUACCGUGGAGAUGAGCGGAAUAUGUCAUGUAGCGGUGAAAUGCUUAGAUAUGACAUAGAACACCAAUUGCGAAGGCAGCUCGUUACACGAAUAUUGACUCUGAGGCACGAAAGCGUGGGGAUCAAACAGG
rnacentral:rRNA from 1 species